UCCGUAGGUGAACCUGCGGAGGGAUCAUUACAAGUGACCCCCG
rnacentral:rRNA from 1 species